rnacentral:lncRNA from 1 species
GUAUUUCUACAGUUUUUAUCAUGUGUUCCAACCCUAAGUAUCUAAAUUUUUAUUAUGACCAAAUUUUAUUAUGACCAAUAAUGAUCUUUCCAUAUUUGUGUUAAUGAUAAAAUAUUCCUGUUUGUAGCUUAUACAUAUAUACAUAUUUUUUCUAACCUAUAAUGCUUUUAGAAGUUAUCCUAAAAUCCAACUUGAUAUUCAUAUGAUAAACAGAAUUCAGAAAUUAAGAAUUUUUAAAGGGGCUGGGUGUGGUGGCUCACGCCUGUAAUCCUAGCACUUUGGGAGGCUGAGGUAGGUGGAUCACUUGAGGCCAGGAGUUCAAGACCAGCCUGGCAACAUGGUGAAACCCCAUCUUCACUGAAAAUACAAAAAAUUAGCCAGGUAUGGUGGUGCACACGUGUAGUCCCAGCUGCUUGGGAGGCUGAGGCAGGAGAAUUGCUUGAACCUGGGAGGUGGAGGUUGCAGUGAGCCAAGAUGGCACUCCAGCCUGGGCAGCAGAGCGAGACUCUGA